rnacentral:tRNA from 1 species
GGGGCUGUAGCUCAGAUGGUUAGAGCGCCUGUCUGUCGAACAGGAGGAUCGCGAGUUCGAGCCUCGUCAGCCUCG